rnacentral:lncRNA from 1 species
UGCUGUGCAGGUAGUGUUUUUCAUAUCAAGGAAAAAAAGGUAUUCAAAUAUGAUUUUACUUUCUCUAUGCCCAACAGACUUCAGACAACAUGUGUCAACAACAAGAAUCAAGAGUCUUCAGAUGACAGUACUGAAAGGACUGCUAAGAAUCAUCACACAGAGUGUGUCUCUAACAAACUAAAAAUAGGAAGAAAAGGAAUUUCAGGAAGGAGCUAAGGGAAUGGGAAAGGUUGCUAAUACAGGAAAAUUGAAUAACGGCUGGAGCAAGAUGCUGGAGGAAGCAGGGAGAGAUGAGAUAUAAAGCAUGUAUGAAAGCGAUGCCUUGGAAAAGAGAAUCAAUGCUUCUUCCUCUGACACGAGGAUGAAGGUGAAGCGAUGGUGAGAAAGCAGAUGAAGUACUUUACCCUCUCUGUAAUGUGAGGCUGAAAUUGAGUCAGGCAGAGUCCACCCCAUGUCUCAAUGAGAGAAGAUAAGGAGAAAAGGAGCUGCCCUGAGCCAUCUAAAAGGAUUAAUGCAUGAUGUCCAAGGCUUGCAGCAUCGUCAGUCCAUAGAAUUGUCGCAUUUACAUGGCUGGAUCUUCAGA